AUGGUUAGCAGUUUUGUUGCUCAUGGGGUAAAACUUGGGGAGGUCCUUUUUGGUGAUGAGAAAUCGAGGUUUUCUGAACCGUUUGAGGCUUUCAUGAAAUUGUGCCAAGAAACGGACUGUGGCCCUCCAGCAGCACGAUUAGAUGCCUGACUCUCCACCCAGCAUUUUAUCCAAUCACACUGCUGCCUAUGUCCCUUCACAAGCAGGCACACCUCAACUUUUCAUUGGUGGCUUUGCUGCUUAAGUCAGCAUCUGCAUUAGGUGCAAAGACUGUGAAGGGGCCACGACUUCCGAGUUCAGGGUGCCUUUGCAGGUUUCUCCGUCUCCAAUAAAGCCAGGCCUACAAGUGCAGUUCCUUUCCAGGGGUCCUGUCGUGGUACAUUGGCCUGUAUGAAUGCAGUCACCAUCUGCAUGGCAUCCCCCAUUAUUACCAUCCAGGCAUGGAUUGAUGGCUUCAAAC